rnacentral:rRNA from 1 species
UGGGUUAGUGGCGGACGGGUGAGUAACGCGUGGGUAACCUGCCUUACACAGGGGGAUAACACUUAGAAAUAGGUGCUAAAACCGCAUAAGCGCACAGCUUCGCAUGAAGCGGUGUGAAAAACUCCGGUGGUGUAAGAUGGACCCGCGUCUGAUUAGCUUGUUGGCGGGGUAGGGGCCCACCAAGGCGACGAUCAGUAGCCGGCCUGAGAGGGUGGACGGCCACAUUGGGACUGAGACACGGCCCAAACUCCUACGGAAGGCAGCAG